rnacentral:misc_RNA from 1 species
CCUCUGCAUCCAAAAUCGAAACCCUAAAAUCGGAAGAUAAAAUAAAGAUGAGCGGAGGGGGAGAGAAGGGGUCGACAACCACAAAAACCCCUGCAGACUUCUUGAAAUCAAUUCGUGGGCGACCAGUUGUUGUCAAACUGAAUUCUGGUGUUGAUUAUCGAGGUAUUUUAGCAUGUUUAGAUGGAUAUAUGAACAUAGCAAUGGAACAAACUGAAGAAUAUGUUAAUGGGCAAUUGAAGAACAAGUAUGGCGAUGCUUUUAUUCGUGGAAACAAUGUUCUGUACAUUAGUACAUCAAAGAGGACAUUAGCAGAUGGGGCUUAGUAUUGCAGUGCCAUAAAAGAAUGGAGAAGAUUUGGAGUUUGGACUUUUCUUUUCUUUUUUUUUUUUUGUUUUGAAUGAUU